GUGGGAGUGGCUGGCUGGUGAGGUGAGAAGGAGGCGAGGUGUGGAAGUACUGGAGCAGACUGUGACAUCCAUAGUUCACCAUGAAGAGAAAAAAGGACAUUAUGUCCUAUUUCUGCCCCCAAAAGAAAAACAAAAAUGAUGAGGCAGACAUUGAGACAGAGCCAGAUGAUCCAGGUGUUGAAAAAGCUGAGGAGGAAACGUCCAGAAGUUGAGAGCGCUACAGAAAGAGAGCCAGAGGAUUUGAUCUUUGAAGAGAUUGGUUUCCAAAGUGAGGGCACAGAGCAGGGAAGAAAGACAGAUGAAGAUCCAGAGAGUGAGGCUGAGGGUGACAUACAAGCAGAGUGUGAGACGCAGACAGAAGAUCCAUGUGCAUCUACAAGCAUUGGACCAUCAGAUAUCAGCAAAUUCAAAGAAGACCCACCGAUGCAGCCAAAUCUGAAACUGUUUCCACGGACCUUGAUGGGGGACAGAAGAAGGAGUUUCAAGGCGGCCUGGUACAACAUUCACCCCUGGCUUGAGUAUUCUAAACGGUCGGACUCUGCGUAUUGUUACGCCUGAAGACAUUUUAGUCCUCCUAAUUGCACAGAGACUGUAUUUGACUCACAAUUGGGAUUCAAAAACUGGAAGAAGGCAACUAACAAAGAGGGGGGUUUGCAGAGCGGUUAAACGCUGAUCAUGUGAAGGCAUCUUAAGUGUUGCAGUUCUAUGUGACCACCGGAAGACAGCAGAGUCAGAUUUAUUUGUUCAGCUCCACUACGGUCAAGUCAGAAAUAAUAUUAUACAUACCAAGUUUUUACUUCCGCUGAUCUUUCAAAAACUAAUUUUCAUAUGUAGCAUCCAAUCUAAAUUCUAAAUUCUUGUUUGUUUUUAUUGUAUUAUGUUUUUAUUUAUAUGGAAGUCUUAAACAGAUAUUAUGUAAAAUCAAUGAUUUAUGUAAUAACAUUAUAUUUACAUUACAGUUCAUUUAGCUGACGCUUUUGUCCAAUGUGACUUCAAACAAUCAUGAGGAUAAAGCUCCGAACAGCAAGAAUCUUAGAAGUAGCUUCAAAUAGGUGAAAUCAUUUAAGUGCAGAACAAUAGCUUCAAAUAAGCCAAACCAAAAUGCAAAAUACAGAAACAAUAGAAUACAAAUUCAACCCCUUUUCAUUCGUCGAGGUGCAGUUGAAACAGGUAAGUUUUCAGUCUGCGACGGAAGGUGUGAAGAUCAUCUGCUGUCCUCACAUCAAUGGGGAGCUCGUUCCACCAUUUUGGAGCCGGAUAGCAAACAGGCGGUUUUGUUUGAGGGGAAUCUGAGUCCCACUCGCAGUGAGGGAGCAGCAAUAACUUUGUCAUGUUUUUUGUUAAUGUUUGACUUUAUUCAAGUUCUUUAAAAAAACAUUCAUCUUCAUCUUACUUUCAGGCGUAUUUGAUUCUUAUUCGUCCUCCACCAUGGUGUUUGGAUGUAAUGCUGCUUAGUGUUGUUGGUUACCAACAUUAAGGAGAAUUAAAGUUACGCUUGAAGCUC
rnacentral:lncRNA from 1 species